GACGAACGCUGGCGGCGUGCCUAAUACAUGCAAGUAGGACGCAGAUGCGAACGGGUGAGUAACGCGUAGGUAACUACCUAUUAGAGGGGGAUAACUAUUGGAAAAGAUAGCUAAUACCGCAUACUAGUAGAUGGACCUGCUGUGUAUUAGCUAGUAGGUAGGGUAAAGGCCUACCUAGGAAAAGAUACAUAGCCGACCUGGGAGGGGGAUCGGCCACAAUGGGACUGAGACACGGCCCAGACUCCUUCGGGUGGCAGCAGGAGGGAAUCUUCGGCAAUUGGGGGAAACCUGACCGAGCAACGCCGCGUGAGUGAAAAAGGUUUUCGGAUCGGAAAGCUCUGUUGUUAAGGAAGCGGUACUUAACCAGAAAGGGACGGCUAACUACGUGCCAGCAGCCGCGGUAAUUC
rnacentral:rRNA from 1 species